rnacentral:misc_RNA from 1 species
GAUGAAGAACGUAGCGAAAUGCGAUAAGUAAUGUGAAUUGCAGAAUUCCGUGAAUCAUCGAAUCUUUGAACGCACAUUGCGCCCCCUGGCAUUCCGGGGGGCAUGCCUGUCCGAGCGUCAUUUCUGCCCUCAAGCACGGCUUGUGUGUUGGGUGCGGUCCCCCCGGGGACCUGCCCGAAAGGCAGCGGCGACGUCCGUCUGGUCCUCGAGCGUAUGGGGCUCUGUCACUCGCUCGGGAAGGACCUGCGGGGGUUGGUCACCACUAUAUUUUACCACGGUUGACCUCGGAUCAGGUAGGAGUUACCCGCUGAACUUAAGCAUAUCAAUAAGCGGAGGA